rnacentral:lncRNA from 1 species
CCGACUUUGGGGUUUUCUUGCCUUUUUUCUCUCAGAGUUGAGCCCCUACCCGGGCCCUUUAGUCCCUCGGUCACGAGGAACGGUGGAGUUUAGAACCUGUGAGUACGUUAGAUAGUUCGCAGUCGAGUAAGAACAGAGUUCGGGCAAGGGCGGCUGGUCCGGGACCAAGGGAAAACACGCUGGCAUGGUGAUAAGGUCAGUGGCUACCAGGCUGGAAGUUUAGCACCAGAAGGGAAUUUGGGGAUCAAUUCAACCGCCUCAUUUCAGGCAUACUUAAAUUGAAACCCAGAAAGGUGAGGUAAUUUGCAGAAGGUCACCCAGCAGCCCCUGAGCAGGCAGGACUGCAACACAAAUGUCGAACGUGGCCUUCCACUGUGUAAUACUAAGCAAAUAGACACGUAAAUUCCUUUGUAGACUUCUCAUCUUUCCUUACGCCCUGCCUCUCAUAUUACACACCUUCCCCAUUUUGCCUUUCUUCUUUUACUUUGCACUUGUUUUUGUACAUCUAAAAGGAAUUAAUUAUUCAACAGCAGUGGGAACCCUUGAAACAUAAUCUGGGGGAAAAAUCAAUAAAGUUUUCUUUAUGUCGCGUAGUUCUAAAGAGCAUGUGCUUUAGAGACAAACCUGGGCUCCAGUUAUUUACUUGUGAGACCUUUAGGUCAAUUGGCUUUUAUUACAGCUUUUUAACCAUAAUAAAAUGGGGAUCCCUGCCUCGCAGAAGGUUGAUUAAAUGGAUCAUAAAUUGUCCAACUAGUGCCUAGCAAAUAGUACAUACUCGGUAUUUUCCCCUUUUUAAUCCCCGUUUUACAGGCGAUGGAACUUACCAGAGACCAAAUAGCUAGAGAAUGGCUGAACUGGGUUUUGAAUCUAGUAAAUCUUGACCCCAGAGCUCUCCAGCCUAAAGGAGAGAACUCAGCUGAACACCUACUUCCUUCCCUACCAACUCAGCAGUUCUCAGAAAGGAAAUGGCAACCAUAUGCUUUCUCAUUAACCAAAACGAAAGGCAGCCUUGAAAAACAAGAUGUUCUGGACAAUACAGAAACCCUUCGGCCCAGGCUAGUUGGUUUCAGCUACCGCUAA